CCUACGGGAGGCAGCAGUCGAGAAUCAUUCACAAUGGGGGAAACCCUGAUGGGGCGACGCCGCGUGGGGGAAUGAAGGUCUGCGGAUUGUAAACCCCUGUCAUGUGGGAGCAAAUUAAAAAGAUAGUACCACAAGAGGAAGAGACGGCUAACUCUGUGCCAGCAGCCGCGGUAAUACAGAGGGCUCAAGCGUUGUUCGGAAUCACUGGGCGUAAAGCGUGCGUAGGCUGUUUCGUAAGUCGUGUGUGAAAGGCGCGGGCUCAACCCGCGGACGGCACAUGAUACUGCGAGACUAGAGUAAUGGAGGGGGAACCGGAAUUCUCGGUGUAGCCGUGAAAUGCGUAGAUAUCGAGAGGAACACUCGUGGCGAAGGCGGGUUCCUGGACAUUAACUGACGCUGAGGCACGAAGGCCAGGGGAGCGAAAAGGAUUAGAUACCCGGGUAGUC
rnacentral:rRNA from 1 species